rnacentral:rRNA from 1 species
GACGUAGGAUGCAAGCGUUAUCCGGAAUCACUGGGCGUAAAGCGUCUGUAGGUGGUUUAAUAAGUCAACUGUUAAAUCUUGAGGCUCAACCUCAAAAUCGCAGUCGAAACUAUUAGGCUAGAGUAUAGUAGGGGUAAAGGGAAUUUCCAGUGGAGCGAUGAAAUGCGUAGAGAUUGGAAAGAACACCGAUGGCGAAGGCAGUUUACUGGGCUAUUACUAACACUCAGAGACGAAAGCGAGGGUAGCAAAUGGG